AAGGUUCCAUUUUUUUUUAACAAUAUUUUUAUUAUUUCACAAACAAAUGCAAUAUGUACGUAUGAAAAUUUUGACAGGUUAUCAUAAGCAGUGCAGACGGUCGAAAGCGGACAUGAGUAAAAUAUCAGUGCACAUUGGUACAACGUAAGAUGUCAACAUUGAAUAGACAAAAUAAAAUUGUUACAAAUUAUCAUGAGACAAUGUGAGUCUGUUAUGUUGCAUUAGUUAUCUAUGAAAUCAAAGAGCCACCUUUUUAUUAGAUUGCAUGGGAAAGACUGAUAAAUUGCGGAUUAAGUCACAGGAAUAUCAAUAUACCUCAAAAGUAGGAUAGAGUGAUAGAAGGAAAGUCAGAUGGAAAGGAGCUGAUAAACAUUGGGAUCACUGCGUCUAUACUCCAACCAGGGCUGCCAAAUCCUUAGAAAUUUAUCAUGGGUAUUGUUGAGAAAACUAGCUAAUUUUUCAUUCACCAUAAUCCAAUCCAUUUUACGUUUAAAGGCUAGUAUAGGAAUAGAUCCAGCUUUCCACGCCUUAGCGAUGGUUUCUUUUGGAGCUAGAAAUAUACACGUUAAAAGUUUGUUUUGUAUCUUAGAGAAACCUUCACAUUUACCAAGGCCCGGAUUUGGGGAGAGGCCCCCUAGGCCCGGGCCUAGGGCGGCAAGAUGUUAGGGGCGGCAAGCAGGCCCCCUAACAUCUUCUCUAUAACAUAGUAAAGCGGAGCGGUCCGUGACCGUCACAUUUCCCUAUUGACUCGGCGCAGCAGCUUGUGUGGACUCCUGCUGUGCGCCUGCCUCUACUCUACAUAGAGUAGAUAGCAAGCGGUGUUGUUGCAGAUCUCCACUUCUUCCUGUCUGCGCUCUGUGACGUCGCCACGUUACCAUGUAACUGCGCAUGCACGCUUCAUCGUGACAUCAUUUGUGCGCCACACAGGCACGCACGGCACCAGAGUAAUUAGAAAUAGAGUCUAGAGGAUUGGGAAGGGAGCAAGUUCAGGCAAGAGCUGCUGAGCGCAUGCGUGCACAGAAAAUACGGGGGGGGCGGCACAGUAGCUGGGCCUAGGGGGGCAGGAAGGGUAAAUCCGGCCCUGCAUUUACCAUUCAAAAGUGCUAUUAUUGGGUCUCUAUCUUGUAUGUCUGCUUGUACCAGUUCAUCUGCCAAAUUUUUGCCCCUACUAUAGGAAAAGUGUGGUAAUAAUUUACAGUGGGAUUUUAUUUGUAGGAUAGACCAGUGGUGUAGGACCACUUUCUACAAUUUUCUACUUAAAGGAGAACCAAGCCCUUUAUGCUUAAAACCCUCAACCCUACACAGAUUCAGCGUAGCAGAGCUCACGGGCUCUUCAGCUCUUCAGUAGUCUUCAGGAAGAGAGCAGCGUAUUGGCGCAUGCACAGUUGGAGCAGUCUUUUUUUGCGCCAAAAGUGAAGGAAAUUGCUGAAGUGCAGGAAGAAGAUCCCCGAAGAGCCAGAAUAUGGGGCCCAUGAGCUCCACUGCGCUGAAUCUGCAAAGAGAGGUUAAGAUAGCGAUUAGGGGCAAUUACCAGAGUUUACAACUAGGCUGGGGAGGGAUCAGGGGGGCUUUGUAGGGUAGACGGGUAGGGGAUUUUAAGCAUAAUGGGUUCGGUUCUCCUUUAAUGGCCCAUACUAGCUCAUGAAAGGGAUCCUUUGUUCUACCUGUCUUUUGGCAGUUGUACCUGCAAGUAGAGUCUUCCUAUCCUUUCUAAGUACCUAGUCCCUUUCAUCACACAAGGAAUUACGGUCAUAAGCUUUUUCCACAAAUUUUUCGAUGAGUUUAUUAGCACUGUGAAAAUAUCCAUCAUCUCUUGAAGAUAUUCGUCUAACACAUAAAAAUUGACCCUUAGGAAUGCCUUUGAUUAUGUUAGGGAUGAAAACUGGUCUGAGAAUAUUAUUUCUCUCUGAGGGUUUUGAGAACAGGUCAGUGGCUCCAAUUAGUGGAUGCUUACUUUAUUAUAUUCAAGUCACCACCAUGAUUACUGUGCACAGAGCCAAUAAACUGGACUUUGAGACCCUGUGACUUGCUGUCAUGUAUCUGGAAAGGUUUCUGGUCUGUAGACCCCUAAGAGCUGCCAGUCUGAAGAUCAUAGGUGCCACUUGUUUUUGCUUGUCCCAUAAGGUAAUGGAGAAAUGUCUUCUUAAAAAAUACAAGUUUCUGGCGCUGUUCUGUGAAGAUGGAUUCUCAGCUCCAUUAAUGUCCUGGGACAGUUGAUAGUAAGGAGGCGGUAUUUCCACCUAAGGGUUCCCACUAUGGACUAUUUCUUUGAAUAUUUUUCCCAUCAAAAAGUGUCCAACAAGGAAUGUCCGGCUGUAAAAACCAGCCAAUGCACUUACAGCUGCUAGAGGCAUCAUGUGCUGCAGAACAAAUAUUCCAAUGUGACACUUGGAAUAGAGUUCACCCUAGAGACUGUUCAGGCCCCCUAUGGCAGGAUUUCAUGGGAAAGUUCAGCCACCUGGUUUUCCAACAAGAUCUUCUUGCACAAGAUUAUGCCAGGUGUGUUUCCAGAGACUUUUCCAGAUUUUACACCACCAGCAGGCACACCAUUGCCAGAAUGAAUCACUUGGUAUAUAAACAUAUCUCACUGUGAUAUUCC